GUCUCUUUGAUAUAUAAUAAUAAGGAGUUGGGCCUGCUCGGUGAUAUUUUUAACAGCUGCGGUAUUAUAACUGUACUAAGGUAGCAUAAUAAUUUGCCUUAUAAAUUAGGGCUAGAAUGAAUGGUUUGACGAAAAUUAUACUGUCUCUACUUUAAUUAUUAGAAAUUAAUUUUUAUAGUGAAAAAGCUUGGAUGAUUUAAAGGGACGAGAAGACCCUAUUGAGCUUUAUGUUAAAAUAUAUAUAAUUAUAAAAUAUUAUUUAUUUUUUUAUUUUUGGUUGGGGUGAUCAAGGAAUAAAAUUUUAAUAGUAUAAUUUCCUUAUUAAUAUUAUUUGUUAGAAUAAUAAACCAAAAAUUUUGCUUAAAUGAUAAGUUACCAUAGGGAUAACAGCGUAAUUUUUUUAGAGAGUUCAUAUUAAAAAAAAAGAUUGCGACCUCGAUGUUGGAUUAAAAUAACCAUUAGGUGUAGAAGCUUUAUUUGGUAAAUCUGUUCGAUUUUUAAAAUUUU
rnacentral:rRNA from 1 species